CUCGCAGCUCAUGAAGUCAAGGGGAAUGAUGGAAGAAAGGCGCCAUCAUUAUAAAUGAUUUAAUGAGAAAAAUUUGGGAACUCUGUAAUUCCCAGUAGUACAAUGUACUAUGCUUACAAGUCUCACUCCAUCUAGAAGCAAAGAGCUGCUGUGUGAGCGAAAAGAAUGGGAACACUUUCCAGGUAUCCUGAUGUCUGCAUGACAAAGAAGGAGAACAGGAGACAAAAUGAGAAAUGUAGCAAUAGACAGGCUUGUUCAAUAUAAAAUUAAAAGUUAGUGUAACUGUCAGAAUUAUUCAUAACUCAGGAACCAGGUUACAUUUUCCUGCAUAGACUAUUCAAAUAAUAAGACUAAAGGAAAUGUUGUCCUGUUGUGUUGUUGCAGGGGGUAUCACAGAAAGAAAGUGAUCAUGAACCCAUUUCCUGGGGAUCAAAGGGCUUCAUACCAGUGGUUCUCAAGCUGCCUUAAAUAUCAUAGAAGAAUUUUACGUUGAAGUUGAUGAUUUUAUUCAGCCUCUUUGAACAUGUCAACGUGGAUAUUGUCCUUGAACACACAGCUCCACAUGCCCAUGGGCUGAAGAAGAUGCUGAGAAAUGGAUUCUAUAUGGGAAAUUUCAUGUUUAGUAGAGAAUAGCAAGAAGGUGUAAUAGAGAAGAAGCAGCAAAAUGUGGCUGACUCACUGAGGAGGACAGCUCCCUUCAAAGAAGGCCUUCAGGUGACUUGCAGGAAGCCCCUGGAGAAAAUGGAAUGAAGGAGGACAAGGCUUAUAUGGCGCUAAGUGAAAUAUGAGAAUAACUUACAAGUCCUGGCUAGAUAAGGUUGAGAUCCUUUUGAGUUACCACAAAAGACUGUGUUCAAAUUUCAACUUGUAAUGUUUAAGAGGAUACAGGGGCAGUGAGAGAAGAGAAACAACUCACUUCACCAUCAACAGAGCUAAACUGCUUCUUAGGACUAUUUCCUGACAUCACAUGGUACCUGACAAAUUUGAAAUAAGACAAAACAUUAAGGAGAAAGGGAAAGUGGAAAAAAAUCCUCCAUUAAAUAAAAUGUAAAUGUGAGAAGGGUA
rnacentral:lncRNA from 1 species